CAGAACGUAGUAUACACAAAACAUUUCGCCUACACCGAAAAAACAUCUGCAUAAUCAGGUCGUUCUGA
rnacentral:tRNA from 1 species